UGGGGAAUAUUGGACAAUGGGGGCAACCCUGAUCCAGCCAUGCCGCGUGUGUGAAGAAGGCCUUAGGGUUGUAAAGCACUUUCAGUGGGGAGGAAGGCCCGUUGGCUAAUACCCAUCGGGAUUGACGUUACCCACAGAAGAAGCACCGGCAAACUCCGUGCCAGCAGCCGCGGUAAUACGCAGGGGGCGAGCGUUGUCCGGAUUUAUUGGGCGUAAAGAGCUCGUAGGCGGCUCAGUAAGUCGGCUGUGAAAGUCCGAGGCUCAACCUCGGAACUGCAGUCGAUACUGCUGUGGCUAGAGUCAGGUAGAGGAGAAUGGAAUUCCCGGUGUAGCGGUGGAAUGCGCAGAUAUCGGGAGGAACACCAGUAGCGAAGGCGGUUCUCUGGGCCUGUACUGACGCUGAGGAGCGAAAGCGUGGGGAGCAA
rnacentral:rRNA from 1 species